GCCAMGAGUGUUUUMAUUAAUCAAGAACGAAAGUCAGAGGUUCGAAGGCGAUUAGAUACCGCCCUAGUUCUGACCGUAAACGAUGCCAACUAUCAAUCCGCCAGUGGCUUUUAGUCAUUGGCGGGCGGAUCGACGGAAACGAAAGUUUUUCGGUUCCGGGGGAAGUAUGGUUGCAAAGCUGAAACUUAAAGGAAUUGACGGAAGGGCACCACCAGGAGUGGAGCUUGCGGCUUAAUUUGACUCAACACGGGAAACCUCACCCGGCCAGUACAUCAUAAGGAUUGACAGAUUGAAAGCUCUUUCAUGAUUUGAUGAAUGGUGGUGCAUGGCCGUUCUUAGUUCGUGGCGUGAGUCGUCUGCUUAAUUGCGAUAACGAGCGAGACUCCAACUGCUAAAUACCAUAGUAAUUAUUUGUUGCCAAUGGUUCUUAGCUGGAUUCGCGGCUUCAAGUCGCAAGAAAUGGAGCAAUAACAGGUCUGUGAUGCCCUUAGAUGUUCGGGGCGGCACGCGUGCUACAAUGAUGACAACAGCAUGCUUGUGCUCGACCGACAGGUCUUGCCAAACAUAUGAGAUGUUAUUAUGGCUGGAAUUGAGUGUUGAAACUUUCUCUCAUGAACGAGGAAUUCCAAGUAAAUGCAAGUCAUCAACUUGCAUUGAUUACGUCCCUGCCCUUUGUACACACCGCCCGUCGCUACCCGGGACUGAGUUGUUUCGAGAAAUCUACGGACUGCUGAUGUAAAGGCAACUUGCACCAAG
rnacentral:rRNA from 1 species